rnacentral:lncRNA from 1 species
GGGCUCUUUCCAGUUUAAGUUCCAGCCAUUUUGAAUGCAGACUUCAUGCCCAGAGUUGAAACAGUCAUUCUGUAACCAUGAAGGAAAGGCCACUGAAAUCCACAGAGAUGCUGGCUGGACAUUUUUGAACCACGAAAUGAAUGGCCAUAGCUGCCUAUCUCUCAUCAUACUGUCACGUAAGAACAGCACAAUCCCCACUUGUGGAAUUCACUGUCUGUUGGGUAUUCUGUUCCCUUCAGAUGCUUUCCUGGUGAAUACAUUAGCUUUUCAGUCACGAAGAAGGUAUUUAAGAGUGCUCUCCAUUCCUUGAUUUUUCCAUUUGUGUAGUGAGGAUAACUUUGUAAUGACUGGGCUGAUAUAAUAGUGUGAGAUUUAGAAGAGAUAAUGCUAGACACGUAAUAAGUAUAUAACGGUACUAUUUUUUAAUUAAAACAUUUGAACUCUUUGGCCUUUGUAGGUCUCAAUUAAAGCUAUGCAUGUGCAUUUCUUGAAGAUCAUCACAUCACAAACAGCAGAUGAAAAAAUAGCUUCCUGUGUUCCUAUGAAGACAGGCACUGUGGUUAGUGAUAGCUUUCACUGAACUGGAUUUCAGGACAGCAGUUAGAGAUUGACAUCAUUACCCUUCUGAAUCAAGAGGCGACAUGACUGACAUCACCUUUGAGUUUCCAGCCUCCUGGUGAUAUUGUUUGCUGCAUCUUACACCACAUACCUCAGUCAGCUUACUUUGCCCUGCUUCCAGGCAUCUGUGAACCAUCUGGCCUCUUGACGGAUCUGGCAUAUUUCAUGUAGAGAUGCUGAAUUCCAAAACUGGGCACCUAAAGGCUGAGCAUGAGGGAACAGGUCUUCUAAUCAGGUAUGCUGAUUUGGAGAGAAGACAUUGCAAAAGGCAGCUACAACCUCAGGCUGAAGAUUAGAUGACAGGACACCCAGAGUUUCCUUAGUUAAAUUUGUGAGGCUUUUCCCAGCAUGCCCAGUAAGAGGACAUAGGUAGUGGGGAGCAAAAAGAUAGAAAAGCAAAUGCAUAAAAUUGGCUUGCAGGAGACUGCUGGUUUAUCAACAGUUCCAGGAGAUAGCUAGCAUCACCUCUGCUUUGCCUCCAGCCUUCUGAAAUUAUUUCUAGCCAUGGGUGAGAGGGAUUCUUUCUUCCUCCCCUUCACAUCAAAUGCUGUACUGGAAAUCAAUCAAGCAUGUGGCCAGAGCCAAGAAUUGCAUCAUCAGUGUUUCUGAAUAAGAUCCAGGCAAGAAUGCCUCCCCCUCUGAGGCCUCUUACUGCAGGCCGCUAGGAAGAGCCCUCCAUGACUUGAAGGAUGAGAAAAAAAGCUGGAGCCUGUUGUAAGGCUGUCUAGUCCCAUUAAAAAACAAUGUCAAUGGAGAGAAAAAAGUCUUGUUUAAUAUUCUAUAUAUUUCUAAAGAGUCUGGGAAAAAGUGUGGUGAGGGAAGAGCAAAGAAAGCAAAGAUGUUGCUUUCAAACAUGAUAGGUCAAGUUCAUGGAGUUCUAUAGGUGAACACGUGUCAACAGCAUUCUUUUUUAUGGAGAUGAUUAUUUAUUGAGGUUUGAGUGUGAACCAGUCACUAGCGUAGCUAUUUUAUGUAGAGCAUUUAUUUCAUUCAGUCCUCAAAAUAGCCAAGCAAGUUGAAUGAUAAUACUCCCCUGGGACAAAAAGGUGUUCCGAUAAGUUAUGUAACUUGCUCAAGGUCAUGCAUGUUGUAUGCAGCUUCACACAAUGGUAUCACAUUAAGUAAUAUAAUUACUUAACAACGAGAG